AAUGCGCAUUUUUAAAGGACAGCUGGAGAGAGGCGGAAAGGGAGAGACAGUGAGAGGGGGAACUGACACGCAGUAGAGGGGCCGCCGGGUGGAAUCAAAUCCAGGGUCGCUGCAGUGGGCGUUCUCCGACGCUCGCAGCUCAGCGUAUUUAAUUGGAGUGUUUCAAUUGAGUGUUUAAGUGACGGUGAGCGGCCUGACGCUGCGUCAUAAUUUUUUUUUUCCUGUAUGCACUCACUGUAGGUUUAGCCUACAUAGACUUAGUUUCUAAAAAGAAGUGUUUUGAAAUGGGAUCCAGGGCCCUGCUAUUAUAACCUUUAUUUAAACUCUGAGAUAUAUUGAGGAAGCAACCUCAUUUACAAUUGUGAAUAACAGUAAAAUAUCUUCAAAAUAUGAUUGGUUGUAGCCUGUUAGAUUAAAAUCCCAGGUAUUUUUUGUAUUUGGUGUCACAUUGUUCUAUUUAUAGUGGCACACUCACUGACAAAAAAAUCCAAACUGGCACUCCAUGUCACAAAGGUUGCCGACUCCUGCUCUAGAACUAUUUCGCGUAUGUCAGUGUUGAUGCUAGAUUUUUUUUAUUGGAGUGAGAACUAUUCUAAAGUAAAAAGUGUUUGGAUACAUGGUUUGUACAUCUGUGGGAAACAAAAUUCCUCAUGCACAGCAAAAAUGAAGAUCAGUUAGUUACAGGGACAUCUCAGGUGAAAAAUAAAGAUAAACCAUAACACACUGAAAUGACUUUACUGAAAUGUAUUGAUUUAUUUAGUCCAAAAACAUUUUUCCUAAAACUGUGGUACAACUGUUACUGCCCGUAUCAAUCAUGUUUGUUCUUUUUUUCCUGAGAUUACUGCUUUGAGUGUCAUCGGUGGGGUAGACAUUAAAGACACGGUGUGGAGGAUCAUGAAACACCUCUUUACCAACUCCCUGGCCAAGCAGCUUAACUGGCGGUGCGUAAAUGGAAAGACGGCUUUCCAUAGCCUCCAGUUAAAGGAUGUAAUUACUGGAACAGUGAGAAACAACCAUUUGACGGCCACUGCAACUGACCAGGAGGUGGAGGCCUAUAUAAAAAGGUGGCUUCAUCUCGCUGGAGACAGGGAUGGUGGGAGGAGAGAGAGGGAGGAGAAAAGGCGUGCCUCACAGCACACACGGCCACAAGAAGACGAGCAGUGAUG